rnacentral:tRNA from 1 species
GGAAUUGUGGUUGAAGUGGUAAAGGGACUGCCUAGCAAGCACAGUGCUUUGAGUUCAAAUCUCAGCAUUUCUC